AUAUUAGCAGCGAAAUCAGAUACCUUCAUUUGGAAGGUUUAAUAGGGAAGAUUGGUGAAAAGCCAACGCGGUCCCGCCACUGUAAAUGGGAGCAAGCUGUAAUGACCACUAUGUAUGUAAAAAUACACGGGAAGGUACAGUAAGCAAUGAUCAUGAGCCAGGAUACCUGUCUGAUUUUUGAGUGCACC
rnacentral:ncRNA from 2 species